GUUGGGGCUGCAUGGUAUCUCUCCCUGCACUCUCCUGGCUGUGCCCUGGUGGAGGACUGCACACAAGGAAGGAAACACUGGGACAUGAUGAGCCCCAAACUCCACAGAGCAGGAAGAGGUGCCGCCCUGAUGCUGUGAUCAAGAUCUGGUAGAUCCUCAUUGCUUCAACAACUGCCCUGGAUGGUUAAGGCUAGUCUGUGAGUCAGGAGCCCUGGGUCUGAUAUGUAGCACUGGGAUAGACUUCCUUUGGAACAUUAGUGUGUAGCGGGCCUGUUCUCCCUCCCCUGUCCCCCCUCACUACUUUGCAUCAUUCUGAGUUGGAAGCAGAGGUGUAAAUAACUAAACAAGGUGAAAGACCAUGAGAAUCAAGUCUAAAAUGAUCCUAACUGUGGAAACUUAAAAAACAGAACUGGUUGGGAAUUUUCUAUUGCAACAUUAUUUGAACAGAAAAUACUGUUUCUGCAGGAAAAAUUUAAAUUUUGAUUAAAAACAAAAAAAAAUUCAUUUCAGGUUCUUCCUGAAUUGAAACAUUUAAUUUUUUAAAACCACUAUCAGGUCAGUUUGAUAUCUGGCUGUGCUGCUGUGUUGCCUCAUGAGAGUUGUAGUUCAGGGGCCUAAUUUUAUGGGCUGUAUGUAGGCUGGUUCCCUACCUGGCUGGACUACAUUUCCCAUGAUACAUCCCUUUGGUUGAACCGCUGUGGUGUAUCACGAGAGUCCCAUCCAAAAAAGGUACCCAAAGUGUGACUAGAUGACAUUCAGUGGUAGUUUAGACAGACACAAUUUAAUAUCGAACCAAAUUGAAACUAAUUUCAAUUUGGUUCAAAAACCAAAACAAAAUGUUUCAACCCAGGAAUUUUCAUUUUGAUUGAAAAUGUGAAAGCAAAACAUUUUGACAUAUCUGAAUUUAAAUCAUUCUGUUCUGAGAAAAAUUUAAUUAUUUCAACCUUUUAUAUUGAUUAGUGAUGAAAACAAAUGUUGAAAUAUCGUAAAUUAUCGCUGGACAGAAAUUCAAAUUUUCAACUAUUUCUAGUAAUAAGUAAAUAAUUUUUUCACCUGCAGUUAUGAAAUAGGAGGUUAAGACCCAAUGUGAUGUUAAAAGAAGCAUUUUAUCAUUGUGUCAUUGUGUCAUAUUCCUACUGAGCAAACUCCCAGACCAAAGUUACCAUGACAAUAUCCCUAAAGAAUCCAUAAGUAUGUCAUUGGAAGAAUCAAAAUGGUUCCUCUGUUUACAUUCUGCCUUAUUUAUUUUCUAAAAUGUAAUCUCAGUGUUUGUAUUAUACCUCACUUCGUUAUUGAAGCAAUGGACUAUGUAGAAGCCACUGAAAAAUUAUUUGCUUUUUCUAAUAGUUUUCAUUUUUUAGGGAAUAUAUUUUUUCCUAAAAUUAUGAUAUAAUAAAUAUAUUAUAUGUUUAUGUAAGCUAUUUUGGAGUGUUUUUAAAGGAAAUUAAUGAUAUUUUAUCAUUUAGAAGUCUAAUUCAGAGAAACCAAAGCAUUUCAGAAUUAAGAAUUCCAUUCUUUGUUUAAUUUCAGCUUAGGCCCCAUUUAAGUACUGCUGAUGUUUAGAUGUAUGUGUGAUUUUAUACCAAGAAAUAAAAAAACAAAACAAAAAAAUGAAUUAAGGAUAGACAAGGAGCCUUGAGUUUGAUUUUUUUUUUUUUUGCUUUGAAUAACUUCAGUCUGGGGAGGACCUGCCUGUUAUUUUGUGUGUUUAAUGGGCAUUUUUUUCCAUUGUAAUUUUUAGCCCUGGGGGCAACAGAAUGGAAUCACAGUAGUAUCAUUUAGAUAUCACUGUGAAAUGAAAUCGACUGUAGUAUAGUCAGGAUGAAAUUGAUAGUAAUUAUAAUUCAGUAUUUGCAUACUCUCACCUGUAUAUUUCACCAAUAACUUUCCGAGACAGAAGACAAUCAAUGUUUUCAUUUGUUUUAUUAAAAACCUGUCUUGUUUUUUUUUCUUCUUAAUAUCAUGACAAAGUGUAAUGAGAAUUGUUACAGUUUACAAGUGUCUGCUUCCCAAAGCUUAUUUUAAAUUGGAUGCACUAAGAAUGUAUUUGCUGCUUUAAUGGCAAGUCAGUGCGGUUUUUGAACCUUCCUUUUUUUAGUAGUUUCAUAUUUUUUCUCUGCACAUUCUAAUCAGAUUUCUAAUUACCACUUACAGUUACAGUAUUACUUCCUUGACUUUUGAAAACACAGCUUUCUAGAAAGAAACAGUGGGGAUGAAAUCCUGGUCCCA